AAGGAGAGAAAUGUCAUGAUUGCA
rnacentral:siRNA from 1 species